rnacentral:misc_RNA from 1 species
AACGGGGGGGGCCAGCAUUAGUCGCAUUGAUUGGGCGUAAAGGGUGUGUAGACGGUUUUUUUGAAUUAAAUUGAAAAGUCCACUAUAGGUGUGGUAGCAGUUUAAUGAUCGUAAGACUAGAGUAAAGUGGGAGGUGGUUGUACCUGCUACCUAGAUGUAACAUUCAGAGAGGUAUUAGGGACGCACAGAGGCGAAGGCGACUACCUAUUUAUUACUGACGUUGAGGCACGGGGGUGUGGGGAGCAAACGGG